rnacentral:misc_RNA from 1 species
GAUGAAGAACGUAGCGAAACGCGAAAUGUAAUGUGAAUUGCAGAAUCCCCGUGAAUCAUCGAAUCUUUGAACGCAUCUUGCGCCCUUUGGUAUUCCGAGGGGCAUGCCUGUUUGAGUGUCGCAUUACUCUCAACCCUUGACCGAUCAUCGGCUUGGGCUUGGACCGUGGCCGAACCUGGCCGGCGUCGUAGACGUCUGGCCCGGCCGAAAUGAAUGCGGAGCGAAUGCGCGACCGUGACGACCGAGCGUUGUAGAACCUCGCGAGGCUGUUGCUGGUGUGCUGCUCUCCAGUCAUAUUCUUCGAUCUCAAAUCAGGUAGGACUACCCGCUGAACUUAAGCAUAUCAAUAAGCGGAGGA